GAAAAGGGAUACUUUUGGUAUUUCACCUACAACACGCAUCUUCAUCCUCUCCUCUGACUGCACAUAUACCACUGAGACGAGAAAGAUGUGAGAUAAGGGUGACGACGACGAUAGCAAUUUUUGUGACAACGCGACGAUGAUGACGGAGAUGGCUGCCGAAAAGGUUCAGUGGUUAGCGGCGGCGGCGGCGACGGCGACGGUUAGGGUUCCGCCAUGAAACAUGGUAUCGGCAGUGUUUUCUUUAUCAGAAUCGCUAUUGGGUGGGCUAAGUUCCAGGGUUCCGGCCGCCGUUCAGUUGAAGGUAAUGACGAUUAAGAAGGCAAUGAUGGAGGUUAUGGUUAUAGGCAUGGCGGUGACUUCAGAAACGAACUCCGGUGACUCAACUAGGGUUCCAGCAAGAUUACGUCACCUUUUUACACUGUAAGUUUGGUUUUCUUGAAGGUUCAAGGACCGAUGAUGAUGGUAUCACACACCACCCGUCCAAAAACCCACCGCCCUGCCCCUUCUCCAUUGACCAUCGCGGGUGUGAAGGAGUGGGUCUAGAGAGAGCGAAACAGAUCAAAGAAGAGACGAGAGACAGAGACGGAGUAGGGUUCUCCGACGUCGACAACGGUGAAGAGGCAUCCGCUGGCCUGAGGCAAACUGGUGUUAUCAACAGGUUAUGCGUUCGAUUUUGAUUUGUUGUCCCUUUUUCAGUUUUCCCGGCCAUACAUUAAUUAAUUAGUUGAUUCUACAUUCCCUCGGUUUUAAAAAAGAGACAGUGAUUGAUUUAAGGUGUUUAAUUUGUGAAAUUGGUAUGCAUUUUGUUAUUUUAUUUCAAUACAUCUCAAACCUUCUUUCAAAAUAAAUUAUAUAGAUUUUUAAUUUGAACACAAUGAGUUAAUUUUGGGGACAUGUGUUGCAGAACAUUGGCAGUUAGAAUCACAUAUUUGUUUAAAAUAUCAGUUGUUUAAGUGGUUGUAGUCAAUUGGAAAACACACGUCUAAACGUCCCUUAAUCAGUCCCCUAUAUUGUGGUUAGCUUUAUGACUGUAGGCCAACAAUGACGAUGUUUUAAAUCCCAAUCGAAAUGUUGAUGAGCUCCGAUGGAACCAGAAAGAACUAAUGGAAUGGCAAGUGAAUCUACCUGCUGGAUUCAAACACGAAGUCAUUAAUAAUCUCCCAAGUCGAUGUACAGUUUGCCUCUGCGGAUUUUCCAAAUGUAUAAUAUUAUGACUUUUCAGUUGAUUUUUUAUGUGUGCUUUUGCGGAUUUUCUGUUAUUACCUUUUAAACAUGAAAAUAUCUUAGGAUUUCGCCAAGGCUAUGGUGAUGCAUUUCAGCUCUUUUGUAUGAGCUUGAGCAAGGAUAAGAUUUCAGUGUGUCUUGGUUACAAAGCUGAGAAGGUCAUGUAAUUGACUAUGCUAUCACACGACAACUGGUUUGUGUACAACCAUGACACGUUUGCUUUACUUCUUUGAUUGAUUAUCUAUCUGAGCAUAAUCAUUGUCUUUGGCCAGUUCCUAAAAUCCUAAUCACUUAUUUUCACUAUUUCAGUUACAAGGGGCUAUGACAGUUAAUGGUUCUUACAUAGCUGUGUUGUCUUUAUCCUUUUGAUCUUACCAAUUUAUGUCUGAGCCUCAUCAUAUGACUUAUUGUUUUCACCAUUAUCAUUUUCCUUUCAUGACUGAGAAAAUUCUAUUGACUCAUGUUUCCUUUUCUUUCUAUAUCCGUUUUUUUUUUCUCAAAUUGGUCGACAAGAUUUACACACCUAAUUGUUGAUUGCUUGAUUUACAUAACUGUUCUAAUUAUUUUCCCCUAUUGUCAGGUAGUAGUAGUAUUGCAAUGCUUGCUGGUAGUAGGAAAGUGUGCUCGUAAGAUCUUACAUUCAUGUAAAGGAAACAAUGAGAAAAGGGCCAAAGGAGUGAUUGAUGAAAUAUGUUACAACAUUUUAAGACUGUAAAAUUUUACAUUUCGUUUUUGAACCAAACUCACACAAUACAUCACCCUCAUAUUAUCAUAUUCUACUAAUUCCAUUACUUAGGUGGUGGUGUUUUGAGUUUAACCAGUUUCAUUCCUUAUGGUUUCCUGUGUACCAAGUGAAAUUCUUUGUACUUUCAAAGUCAUAAUUUGUAUUUA